rnacentral:rRNA from 1 species
GGGGAAUAUUGCACAAUGGGGGAAACCCUGAUGCAGCAACGCCGCGUGAAGGAAGACGGUCUUCGGAUUGUAAACUUUUGUUCUUGGUGAAGAAGAAUGACGGUAGCCAAGGAGGAAGCCACGGCUAACUACGUGCCAGCAGCCGCGGUAAUACGUAGGUGGCAAGCGUUGUCCGGAAUUACUGGGUGUAAAGGGAGCGCAGGCGGGGAAUCAAGUUGGAUGUGAAAUGUCGGGGCUUAACCCCGGAACUGCAUCCAAAACUGAUAUUCUUGAGUGAAGUAGAGGUAGGCGGAAUUCCGAGUGUAGCGGUGAAAUGCGUAGAUAUUCGGAGGAACACCAGUGGCGAAGGCGGCCUACUGGGCUUUAACUGACGCUGAGGCUCGAAAGUGUGGGGAGCAAAC